rnacentral:tRNA from 1 species
CCGUGAGUAGCUCAGUCUGGAGGAGCGCCCGUUUCGGGUACGGGAGGCCGGCGGUUCAACUCCGCCCUCAUGGA